GAUUUUGACGUAAUUGCUUUUGACGCAGCUAGCAGGUGGCAGAGGUGUAUUUGAAUGUCGGCAGCGCCCUGACAGCGAUUAGGAUGUCCUCCGACUGCUAGUCUUCUUGAUCCUUCAAUUAUGUGGAGCUCAAGUAGACAACAAAGCUUUGUGGAACUAGUUAAGUGUUAGCAUAAAUAUCUAGCCUUUAUCAUGUUGAGCCUCCUCAAUAAAUGUUACUCUCUUUGGUACGAUCACAAUCUUAUUUUUAUAUUUUCAUUUUUAUAGAGCAGAAAAAAUAUUUAUUUUAUUUUUAUGCCACCAUAGCGAAUGUACUUAUGGGUUUUAUGCCACUCGUAUACUCACAUGGGGCUUAUUGUUUUUUCACAUUUUUAUUUCCUUUUUAAGAUAGUAUGAACAUGAUUAACUAAACAAGCA
rnacentral:lncRNA from 1 species